rnacentral:misc_RNA from 1 species
CUUGGGUCUGCCUUGGGUCUGCCUUGGGUCUGCCUUGGGUCUGCCUUGGGUCUGCCUUGGGUCUGCCUUGGGUCUGCCUUGGAUCUGUCGUUUCCCGCUUCCUCACCAACCUCCACAGUCGUCCAGCCAAAUGGUCUCCGUACGGUCGCCUAGAGCCAGUGUUGUCUGUGGAAAAUGGUGGAGUGGUGGAUGGCCAGAGGCAAUCAGACACAGACAUUGAUGUUUCACAAUCGCACCGUGUACUCUCCAGGGAUUACCAGAGGCUCUUCAAGUCACCACUAUAUCAUUGAGAGACUUCGGACACACACUUUCUUCAGCGAGUAUGGAAUGUGUUCUGGGACCGCAUUACACGAGUGUUACUCUUUAAGAGCAAUACUAUUGAUACCCACUUCCUUAGCCCAUCCUUCUCACUCCCUUCAGCACAAAAGUCCUCUACGACAAGAUGACAUUGGCUACUUGUAACAAAUCCAGUGCUUUAUUCUUCUCAGUUAUAGCACGCUUCUUGACGGUACCCUGCUAGUCUGAAUCACCGGAGUCAUCAGAGUUACCAGAGUUGUCCAAAUCAUCGGAAGAGUCGUCCUCGGAGUCACGGAGUCAUCAACGGAGUCCGACUCCGCCUCCUUCUCGGUCUUCUUGGUUGUCUGGAUGGAACAGAGUCGUUCACCUCAGGAACACCCAAGGGAGACACUUGAAGAUGGAGAAAGGAGAAUUCUUGGGAGUGUCUGCUCAGACUUUGCCCUAGUACAAAUCCUGGCAGACGCCUUGGGAACAGUCUUGGUCUUGGCGGCCGCUCUGGACUCCGCCUUCGCUGCAGUCUUACGCCCUCUUGGCAGGAGUCUUUAGAAUGGCUCUCUUUGGAGGCCCCGUCAGAGGCACUGGCACAGUCACUGUCAUCAGAGUCGUUAUCGGAAGCGUAAUAAUUGGAAUCAGAAUCAGACUCACAAUCGGACUUCUCCUUCACUGGAAGAAGUAGGCUGAAAAUAAUUGAGUGUUCCCUGAUUCUCUUUAAAGGAGGUUGGGUGCAUCUGUGUGCUCUUCUUGGUUGACUCGAUCUUGCAUUUGGGCAACAGUCAGAGUCAAAGUCAACAUCCAUCGCUCUCAUGGACUCGGCUUCAGCAGCACCAAGCGCUCGUUUCUUGACCUCCUGGGCCUCUGCUUCGCUGCUUCCUUGGCUGGUGCCAUUCUCUCGGAGGCUUUUUAAGAAGACACCCAUGAUUUAUGGCCUCAGGCAGAAGCUGCAACAACGAAGCUCAUACUCGACAGGCACUUCUAGAGUCAGUCAGUUGGAGUCAAAGUCAACCAGCGGACAGAUCCAGCGGGAGUUAUUUCCACUAUGAGUGGAUUUUAAUCGGAAAAGGAGGAAGAGGUCCACAUGAGUUCUCCUUGAUUGUUUCACUGUUGGAGAACCUGCUAUCCACAAUUGUCGACGAUUCUCAGCCAGAAGUGGUGAUUUGCGAUUACCAUAUCGGGGAAGUGUCACCAAGAGUCCCAUCCGACACUCGGUCCAUCUCAUUGUAAAGUCAAGACUUAUUCAAUAGCGAAGGAGUUUUAUGGAACUUGUCAAUGGUACUGCUGUUGGACUUGGCUGCUUUGUGGAACAACUUCUGCUACCGUGGACUUCAGAGGGCUCUUCAGAGAACUUUGCAAUGAGCUUUUCAAAACUUCUCCUUUGUUGGUCUACCAGUAUUGGAGUCGGGGGUGUGUGCUAUGAUGCAGAAGAUCAGAACAUUAAAAAGACUUCCAUGGGCCCUCUCCAGAGAUGAUCUGGCACAGUCUUUCUCCGACUUCUUGGAGCUUGCGAACUAGUUUUCGAAACUAACUCCUACUACAAGUAACUACCUCGAGUCAGAGGGGGCUCAGACUGAGCAAUGGAAAGUGGCGGAGUUAGUCCAAGACCGAAAGAAGACUUUUUUCAACUGUCUUAUCUUUAUGUCUUGACUCUGAGUGUUUCUAUAGACACGAUUUUGAGAGCUGAGGGUACAAGUACAGUUGGCCACAGUUGGCCACAGAAGUACGGAGACGACCGAGCCAUACAAAACACAGUACUUGUACUUGUACAAGAUGUAGGUGAUUUAUUCUGAAUCAUCUCUUCAUCUCGAAACCUCUGACUUAUUAUUAAGUGGAAGAACUGCUUGUACUUGUGCAAGUAGUCCAGCGACCAAGAGACAGUGACGACCUUCGCCUCAGAAUCGGCUUAAUAUUGUCUAUUACCUCCUUCUACGGAUACCACCAAGAGUCGAAUCUCGGGUUUUGUUUCAUGCAAUUGUUUCAUCAUUGCGUCUGCUCCCAAUUACUUGAACUUUUGUUGAACGAAAUCUUCCGAGUCUUCCUUGAAGUUCAUCCCGUUCCAGAUGUGCUGGAAAUACAAAAAUUGUAGCAUUUUUUAAGCCCAAGAUUGACAGAGUAUUAUUCAGAACAAAAACAACUACGUCGCCUUACAA